rnacentral:rRNA from 1 species
GAUGAACGCUGGCUACAGGCUUAACACAUGCAAGUCGAGGGGAAACGACAUCGAAAGCUUGCUUUUGAUGGGCGUCGACCGGCGCACGGGUGAGUAACGCGUAUCCAACCUGCCCAUCACUUGGGGAUAACCUUGCGAAAGUAAGACUAAUACCCAAUGAUAUCUCUAGAAGACAUCUGAAAGAGAUUAAAGAUUUAUCGGUGAUGGAUGGGGAUGCGUCUGAUUAGCUUGUUGGCGGGGUAACGGCCCACCAAGGCAACGAUCAGUAGGGGUUCUGAGAGGAAGGUCCCCCACAUUGGAACUGAGACACGGUCCAAACUCCUACGGGAGGCAGCAGUGAGGAAUAUUGGUCAAUGGGCGAGAGCCUGAACCAGCCAAGUAGCGUGCAGGAAGACGGCCCUAUGGGUUGUAAACUGCUUUUAUAAGGGAAUAAAGUGAGAGUCGUGACUCUUUUUGUAUGUACCUUAUGAAUAAGGACCGGCUAAUUCCGUG